GCCGAAGUGGCGGAAUUGGUAGACGCGCCAGGCUCAGGACUUGGUGGGCGUAAGCCCAUGGGGGUUCGAGUCCCCCCUUCGGCACCA
rnacentral:tRNA from 1 species